rnacentral:rRNA from 1 species
UUACCUACUCUUGACAUCCAGAGAACUUUCCAGAGAUGGAUUGGUGCCUUCGGGAACUUUGAGACAGGUGCUGCAUGGCUGUCGUCAGCUCGUGUUGUGAAAUGUUGGGUUAAGUCCCGCAACGAGCGCAACCCUUAUCCUUUGUUGCCAGCGGUUCGGCCGGGAACUCAAAGGAGACUGCCAGUGAUAAACUGGAGGAAGGUGGGGAUGACGUCAAGUCAUCAUGGCCCUUACGAGUAGGGCUACACACGUGCUACAAUGGCGUAUACAAAGAGAAGCGACCUCGCGAGAGCAAGCGGACCUCAUAAAGUACGUCGUAGUCCGGAUUGGAGUCUGCAACUCGACCCAUGAAGUCGGAAUCGCUAGUAAUCGUA